rnacentral:rRNA from 1 species
AUUGAACGCUGGCGGCAGGCCUAACACAUGCAAGUCGAGCGAGCGGCGGACGGGUGAGUAAUGUCUGGGAAACUGCCCGAUGGAGGGGGAUAACUACUGGAAACGGUAGCUAAUACCGCAUACCAUCAGAUGUGUCCAGAUGGGAUUAGCGAGUAGGGGGGGGAACGGCUCACCUCGGCGCCGAUCCCUAGCUGGUCUGAGAGGAUGAGCAGCCACACUGGAACUGAGACACGGUCCAGACUCCUACGGGAGGCAGCAGUGGGGAAUAUUGCACAAUGGGCGCAAGCCUGAUGCAGCCAUGCCGCGUGUGUGAAGAAGGCCUUCGGGUUGUAAAGCACUUUCAGCGAGGAGGCGUUACUCGCAGAAGAAGCACCGGCUAACUCCGUGCCAGCAGCCGCGGUAAUAC